UGUUUGAUAAUCGGGUGAUAAAGAGGAGAGGAGGGAAGAGAUACAAGUUUUGAGACAAAAUGUGGCUAUUUUAGGGUUCGAUCGUGGUCCUUCUGAUGCAUUUAGAGCAAUUUGAAGGAGGUAAUUUGGGUUGAAGUGUUUGGAGUUUGUGUAGUUUUUUAUACAAACAAGUUGCUUUGAUUCUGUGUUGUUGAGUCUUGUGUAAAGAUCAUAUGCACUUAAUGUAUAUAUAAAGUAGAAAUGUGGUUCGAUUGUGGUGUUUUGAUCAUCAUCUAGAUGAGUUUUUGUUGAUCCAGACAUUAGUAUCUGCAUCAAAGUAAAGAAACAAUUAAACAAGUGUCUUGUUUAACUUCUAAAAUGACUAUUUUACCCAUAUCUUCUUCAAUUCCUUUUUCAAGAAACCCCCAAAUUAAACCUUAAUUACUAAACCAAAUUAGUCAAAGAUUUAAGAACAUAAUUAGUACCUUUCCAGCUCUUUCCAGCAAUUCAAUCGCAUGUUUGACUUCAUUGUCUGAUAACGUGUUCUUACUUUCCUUCUCACCAGCUAACAUUGCAGACACUGCUAAAAUCAUCGACUUACAUACCAUUGAAUUAUUUCCCUCCAUUUGUCCAUCAAUUUUAACCCCAUAAUAUUCUG
rnacentral:lncRNA from 1 species